CCCAAGAGUUCAUAUCGACGGCGGUGUUUGGCACCUCGAUGUCGGCUCAUCACAUCCUGGGGCUGAAGUCGGUCCCAAGGGUAUGGCUGUUCGCCAUUUAAAGUGGUACGCGAGCUGGGUUUAGAACGUCGUGAGACAGUUCGGUCCCUAUCUGCCGUGGGCGUUGGAAGAUUGAAGGGGGCUGCUCCUAGUACGAGAGGACCGGAGUGGACGAACCUCUGGUGUUCGGGUUGUGUCGCCAGACGCAUUGCCCGGUAGCUAAGUUCGGAAUUGAUAAGCGCUGAAAGCAUCUAAGCGCGAAGCGAGCCCUGAGAUGAGUCUUCCCUGAUACUUUAAGUAUCCUAAAGGGUUGUUCGAGACUAGAACGUUGAUAGGCAGGGUGUGUAAGCGUUGUGAGGCGUUGAGCUAACCUGUACUAAUUGCCCGUGAGGCUUAACCAU
rnacentral:rRNA from 2 species